AUUUCAAUUUAAUUAGGUACAAAGUAUAUCAAACUCACAUAAAUAACUUAUUUAAAUUAAAUUAUAUAAAUCGUAUAAACUUAUGUAUAAACAUAAAAUUAAUAGAAUUUUAAUGAACUUUUAGAUUUGAUUAAAGUAUAAAAAUUAAAUAAUAUGAUAUAAGAAUUUAUUUCAUGUUUUCAUAUACUAAUAUAUAUAUAUAUAUAUAUAUAUAUAAAAGAUUAAUAACAAUUGAUAUUAGUUAAAUUUACGGUUUAGUUUAAGGUAAACCCAAGAUGCUCUCAUCUGGAAUUCUGUUAUGAUCUGUACGUCCUCAAAGUUCCAGAGAUGUUGAGAAAGAUCAAACAUCAGCAGCGUCAGAGGCUUUUUCUCUGGAGAGGUGAUGUUGAAUGGCUCUAUGCGCUGCUCGGAGAGCAAAAGAGUCUUGAAGAAGACUCUAGCAAAUCCAUAUUGGCAUCUAAGCUUGAUCUUUGUGUUCCUGUUAUGAAACACAGAAUCUAGACUGAGACUGAAGUUGGAUACCUCAGCUUUGGGAUGGAGAAUACCGGAACUCUUGGCCGGAGUAAGAGGAUGGAAAGCAUGCUGAAGAUGAGCAAGAGCGUUCCAAGAAAGACUAUGACGAAGAAAACAAAUCAGAAAUAUACUAAGUAUGAGUUGUUUCAAAGAACGUAGUAAUGGUUUAUAAUAAUAUUAACAAUAGAAUAAAAUAAAUAGUAAUGGUUUAAGAAAAUAUUAAUAAUAGUGAGCAAAAGCUAAGCAAAAUAUAAGCAAAACAUAAUAACAUAGUCAAAAUAAUAUGGAAAUGACAAGUAUAUAAAUUAUAUGUUAAAAGUUAAGAAAUUGACUUGGAGGUUUGUGUUGGGAUUUUCCCUUAACUUAAAUAAAGGUUUUAAAUGUGAACAAAAAAAGUUUGAAGUUUUAGUUGGGAAAAUGUUUUGAUUUGGAGGUUUGUUUUGGAAUUUUUUCACUUACCUAAAAAGAUUUUGGUUAUUAUUAACAUAAAAUUCUACUAAUAACAAUUGAUAUGCUUCUUCGUGUUAAAAACAAA
rnacentral:sRNA from 1 species